UACGUAGGGUGCAAGCGUUAAUCGGAAUUACGGGGCGUAAAGCGUGCGCAGGCGGUUCGCUAAGACCGAUGUGAAAUCCCCGGGCUUAACCUGGGAACUGCAUUGGUGACUGGCGGGCUAGAGUAUGGCAGAGGGGGGUAGAAUUCCACGUGUAGCAGUGAAAUGCGUAGAGAUGUGGAGGAAUACCGAUGGCGAAGGCAGCCCCCUGGGCCAAUACUGACGCUCAUGCACGAAAGCGUGGGGAGCAAACAGG
rnacentral:rRNA from 1 species